rnacentral:rRNA from 1 species
UACGGAGGGUGCAAGCGUUAUCCGGAUUCACUGGGUUUAAAGGGUGCGUAGGUGGGCAGGUAAGUCAGUGGUGAAAUCUCUGGGCUUAACCCGGAAACUGCCGUUGAUACUAUCUGUCUUGAAUAUAGUGGAGGUGAGCGGAAUAUGUCAUGUAGCGGUGAAAUGCUUAGAUAUGACAUAGAACAUCGAUUGCGAAGGCAGCUCGCUACACGAAUAUUGACUCUGAGGCACGAAAGCGUGGGGAUCAAACAGG